AGAAGGAGCUUUUAUAUCGUACCAAUCCUUCUUUGCAAAUGGAUCCGCUGCCUUCUUCUUGCCUCCUUUCUUUCCCUUCGAAAUCCUCUUGUUCUUCCCGACGGCCAUGGUUGGUGGAGGUGAGGAGCCAAGGACUCAGGUUUAGCUGUAAAAGUGGAACGACAUCCUUCCGAGAAUCAAAACCCUACUUUCGGUAGCGUGUUAAAUAGGUUAUUUGGUCCUUUUGGAUGGAGUUCGAGGGUAAGUUUGCCAUUGAGUUCUUGCAGGAAUAAACUGAACUACGUCGUUUCACUGAUCGCCAUCGGGCGAUUUAUUUAUUCGGUUUCCAUUUUCGAAGGUCCAAUCAGCCUCUUCCCAAGUCCAAACUUCGCACCCAGCCCUUGAGCAGGUCCAGAGAUGAAUCUCAU
rnacentral:misc_RNA from 1 species